AUUGAACGCUGGCGGCAGGCCUGACACAUGCAAGUCGAACGGUAACAGGAAACAGCUUGCUGUUUCGCUGACGAGUGGCGGACGGGUGAGUAAUGUCUGGGAAACUGCCUGAUGGAGGGGGAUAACUACUGGAAACGGUAGCUAAUACCGCAUAACGUCGCAAGACCAAAGAGGGGGACCUUCGGGCCUCUUGCCAUCGGAUGUGCCCAGAUGGGAUUAGCUAGUAGGUGGGGUAACGGCUCACCUAGGCGACGAUCCCUAGCUGGUCUGAGAGGAUGACCAGCCACACUGGAACUGAGACACGGUCCAGACUCCUACGGGAGGCAGCAGUGGGGAAUAUUGCACAAUGGGCGCAAGCCUGAUGCAGCCAUGCCGCGUGUAUGAAGAAGGCCUUCGGGUUGUAAAGUACUUUCAGCGGGGAGGAAGGGAGUAAAGUUAAUACCUUUACUCAUUGACGUUACCCGCAGAAGAAGCACCGGCUAACUCCGUG
rnacentral:rRNA from 1 species